AACGUAGGGGACAAGCGUUAUCCGGAUUUACUGGGCGUAAAGCGCCCGUAGGCGGCCUGACAAGUUGGACGUGAAAGCUCCUGGCUUAACUGGGAGAGGCCGUUCAAAACUGUCAAGCUAGAGUCUGGAAGAGGAGAGCGGAAUUCCCGGUGUAGUGGUGGAAUGCGUAGAGAUCGGGAGGAACACCAGUGGCGAAAGCGGCUCUCUGGGACGGUACUGACGCUGAGACGCGAAAGCGUGGGGAGCGAACAGG
rnacentral:rRNA from 1 species